rnacentral:rRNA from 1 species
UACGGANGGGGUUAGCGUUGUUCGGAAUUACUGGGCGUAAAGCGCGCGUAGGCGGAUUAGAAANUUGGGGGUGAAAUCCCGGGGCUCAACCCCGGAACUGCCUCCAAAACUACUAGUCUAGAGUUCGAGAGAGGUGAGUGGAAUUCCGAGUGUAGAGGUGAAAUUCGUAGAUAUUCGGAGGAACACCAGUGGCGAAGGCGGCUCACUGGCUCGAUACUGNCGCUGAGGUGCGANAGUGUGNGGAGCAAACAUG